rnacentral:rRNA from 1 species
GGCAGCAGUAGGGAAUAUUGGGCAAUGGGCGAGAGCCUGACCCAGCCAUGCCGCGUGCAGGAAGAAGGCUUUCUGAGUCGUAAACUGCUUUUGACAGGGAAGAAUAAGCUGGACGUGUCCAGUGAUGACGGUACCUGCAGAAUAAGCACCGGCUAACUCCGUGCCAGCAGCCGCGGUAAUACGGAGGGUGCGAGCGUUGUCCGGAUUUAUUGGGUUUAAAGGGUGCGUAGGCGGCCCGUUAAGUCCGGGGUGAAAGCCCGCUGCUCAACAGCGGAACUGCCCUGGAUACUGACGGGCUUGAGUACAGACGAGGUUGGCGGAAUGGACGGAGUAGCGGUGAAAUGCAUAGAUACCGUCCAGAACCCCGAUUGCGAAGGCAGCUGACUAGGCUGUUACUGACGGUGAGGCACGACAGCGUGGGGAGCGAACAGGAUUAGAUACCCUGGUAGUCCACGCCGUAAACGAUGGAUACUCGCUGCGAGCUAAAGAUUGUUCGUGGCUUAGGGAAACCGAUAA